rnacentral:rRNA from 1 species
CAGUCGCCGCGGGAAUACGAAGGGUGCAAGCGUUAAUCGGAAUUGCUGGGCGUAAAGCGUGCGUAGACGGUUUGUUAAGUCUGCUGUGAAAUCCCCGGGCUCAACCUGGGGAUGGCAGUGGAUACUGGCAAGCUAGAGUGUGUCAGAGGAUGGUGGAAUUCCCGGUGUAGCGGUGAAAUGCGUAGAGAUCGGGAGGAACAUCAGUGGCGAAGGCGGCCAUCUGGGACAACACUGACGCUGAGGCACGAAAGCGUGGGGAGCAAACAGGAUUAGAUACCCCCGUAGUCCCUGUCUCUAUACA